UACGGAGGAUCCGAGCGUUAUCCGGAUUUACUGGGUUUAAAGGGUGCGUAGGCGGGCGCCUAAGUCAGCGGUGAAAGGCGGGGGCUCAACCCCCGAGCUGCCGUUGAUACUGGGGGCCUUGAAUUCGGUCGAGGCCGGCGGAAUGCGUGGUGUAGCGGUGAAAUGCUUAGAUAUCACGCGGAACGCCGAUUGCGAAGGCAGCUGGCCGGGCCGACAUUGACGCUGAGGCACGAAAGCGUGGGGAU
rnacentral:rRNA from 1 species